rnacentral:rRNA from 1 species
AUUGAACGCUGGCGGCAGGCCUAACACAUGCAAGUCGAACGAGUGGCGGACGGGUGAGAAAUGUCGGGGAAAGUGCCUGAUGGAGGGGGAUAACUACGGGAAACGGUAGCUAAUACCGCAUAACAUCAGAUAGGCCCAGAGGGGGUUAGCUUGUUGGGGGGGGAACGGCGCACCAAGGCGACGAUCCCUAGCUGGUCUGAGAGGAUGAUCAGCCACACUGGAACUGAGACAUGGUCCAGACUCCUACGGGAGGCAGCAGUGGGGAAUAUUGCACAAUGGGCGCAAGCCUGAUGCAGCCAUGCCGCGUGUAUGAAGAAGGCCUUAGGGUUGUAAAGUACUUUCAGCGGGGAGGCGUUACCCGCAGAAGAAGCACCGGCUAACUCCGUGCCAGCAGCCGCGGUAAUUC